UGGCAGUCAGAGGCGAUGAAGGACGUAUUAACUUGCGAUAAGCCCAGAUUAGGUAGUAAAAACCAUUUGAGUCUGGGAUUUCCGAAUGGGGAAACCCAAUACCAUAAGGUAUUACUGUUGAGUGAAUACAUAGCUCAACAGGGCGAACCGGGGGAACUGAAACAUCUAAGUACCCCGAGGAAAAGAAAUCAACCGAGAUUCCGAAAGUAGCGGCGAGCGAAAUUGGACUAGCCCUUAAG
rnacentral:rRNA from 1 species